GAGAUGCGCUCCUCUGGACCCAGCUGCGCACUGAUGGAGACGGGUUCUGGGAACUUUAGAUGAAGGAAGCGAAAGGGGGCGUGGGCGAGGAGAACCGACACACUGGCCUUUGGACCUUCUGGUCUGGCUCCCCUCUCCCGAAUGGUAAAAAUGAGGAAGUCAGGGGGGCUUAAGAGGAGGGGACAGGGAGUAGAUACACCCCAGAGGAGGAGGAGAGCGGACCUGCCCCGUAUCCAGCCCCUUCCUCGCGCAAGCCUUCCGAUCCCUUCCCCACUCCGGUCAGGGAAACGGGAGAUCCCAGCUUAGAGCCUCCUGGGCUUUGGCACACAGACACCGGCAGGACUCUGGUCGCGUAGGUGACCCCCACUCGGGAUCUCCAGGAUUUCGUGUUUUCCAACUCUGGGCAUUGCUGCGUAAGGAGUUCCAGACGCAGGUAACCAGCCUGGCACUUAGGGGAGACCAAGAAA
rnacentral:lncRNA from 1 species